GAUGAACGCUGGCGGCGUGCCUAAUACAUGCAAGUCGAGCGAACGGACGAGAAGCUUGCUUCUCUGAUGUUAGCGGCGGACGGGUGAGUAACACGUGGAUAACCUACCUAUAAGACUGGGAUAACUUCGGGAAACCGGAGCUAAUACCGGCUAAUAUUUUGAACCGCAUGGUUCAAACGUGAAAGACGGUCUUGCUGUCACUUAUAGAUGGAUCCGCGCUGCAUUAGCUAGUUGGUAAGGUAACGGUUUACCAAGGCAACGAUGCAUAGCCGACCUGAGAGGGACAUCGGCCACACUAGAACAGAGACACGGCCCAGACUCCUACGGGAGGCCGCAGUAGGGAAUCUUCCGCGAUGGACGAGAGCCUGACGGAGCAACACCGCGGGAGUGAUGAAGGUCCUCGGAUGGUAAAACUCUGUUAUUAGGGAAGAACAUAUGUGUAAGCAACUGGGCACAUCUUGACGGUACCUAAACAGAAAGCCACGGCUAACUACGUG
rnacentral:rRNA from 1 species